rnacentral:rRNA from 1 species
GAUGAACGCUGGCGGCGUGCCUAAUACAUGCAAGUCGAGCGAAUGGAUUAAGAGCUUGCUCUUAUGAAGUUAGCGGCGGACGGGUGAGUAACACGUGGGUAACCUGCCCAUAAGACUGGGAUAACUCCGGGAAACCGGGGCUAAUACCGGAUAACAUUUUGAACCGCAUGGUUCGAAAUUGAAAGGCGGCUUCGGCUGUCACUUAUGGAUGGACCCGCGUCGCAUUAGAUAGUUGGUGAGGUAACGGCUAACCAAGGCAACGAUGCGUAGCCGACCUGAGAGGGUGAUCGGCCACACUGGGACUGAGACACGGCCCAGACUCCUACGGGAGGCAGCAGUAGGGAAUCUUCCGCAAUGGACGAAAGUCUGACGGAGCAACGCCGCGUGAGUGAUGAAGGCUUUCGGGUCGUAAAACUCUGUUGUUAGGGAAGAACAAGUGCUAGUUGAAUAAGCUGGCGCCUUGACGGUACCUAACCAGAAAGCCACGGCUAACUACGUGCCAGCAGCCGCCGUAA